GAUAACGCUGGCGGCGCACAUAAGACAUGCAAGUCGAACGAAGUCGUUAUAAAAGGAUUGAAGAUUUAUCUGAUUGAUAUUUUGUAACAAUGGCUUUAGUGGCGGACUGGUGAGUAACGCGUAAGCAAUCUACCUAUUAGAGGGGAAUAACAAUGAGAAAUCAUUGCUAAUACCGCAUAUGCCAUAAUUACCACAUGGUAAUAGUGGGAAAGGAGCAAUCCGCUAAUAGAUGAGCUUGCGUCUGAUUAGUUAGUUGGUGGGGUAACGGCCUACCAAGACGACGAUCAGUAGCCGGACUGAGAGGUUGAACGGCCACAUUGGGACUGAGAUACGGCCCAG
rnacentral:rRNA from 1 species